AGUCUGACCUGCCCUAUGAUAUUUAUAUUAAAUGGCCGCGAUAAUUUGAUCGUGCAAAGGUAGCAUAAUCAUUAGUUUUUUAAUUGGGAACUGGAAUGAAAGGUCGAACGAGAAAAAGACUGUCUCAAUUUAAAUUUAAUUAGAAUUUUAUUUUUAAGUAAAAAAGCUUAAAUAAUUUUAAAAGACGAGAAGACCCUAUAGAGUUUUAUAUUUAAUGUUUUUAGAAAAAAUUUAAGAAUUUUUUUUUUUUUAUUUAUAUUAAGUAUUUGGUUGGGGUGAUUAAAAAAUUGAAUGAACUUUUUUUAUUUAUAAAACAUUGAUAUAUGAUUAAGUGAUCCAUUUGUUAUGAUUAAAAGAUUAAAUUACCUUAGGGAUAACAGCGUUAUUUUUUUUGAGAGUUCUUAUCGAAAAAAAAGUUUGCGACCUCGAUAUUGGA
rnacentral:rRNA from 1 species